UUUGAGAAAUUGUUGUAC
rnacentral:snRNA from 1 species